AACACGUUGUUUAAUUAUCUGGAACUGCUUUGUCGUGCGCAUGACGCAAGGGCGGAAGUGACAAAAGGCGAGACGGCGUAGAGCGACAGACAUUAUUGAUUAGUGAUGUAAUCGUGAUCGUUCAGUACCGUAAACUAAUCCUUGUUCCACUUUCAAUAAACCUGUUUAAACAAAACUGUUGGUCCUUCAAACCUCAAUCUAUCCAAGCGUUAAAUCAGCUUUUGAGAAUUUUUGCGAAGGAAUGAAGCCACAGGCCAGCUGGUCUAGACGAGUUUUUCACCGAUUUUUCAGUUUCAAACAGCCGACGAAUUACAAACUAUUUACUCUCAAACUGUGUUUUUGAAAUGCUGCAAGUUCUUCACGAUAACAGACGCAUAGGCCCAAACAACCAGCAAAAGUUUAGAAUUUGUCACCCAAAACACCCUUCUGCUCCUAACUAGAAAAUCGCUGUUUCCUGUCGGCUUGUGAAUUUGCCUGCUUAAUGUAAAUUUCCCAUUUUUUAUGCAAGUGAGAAACUGACU